rnacentral:rRNA from 1 species
AACGAACGCUGGCGGCGGGCCUCAUACAUGCAAGUCGAGCGCGAAAGUCCGCAAGGAUGAGUAAAGCGGCGCACGGGUGAGAAACGCGUGGGUAAUCUACCCUUUGGAUUGGAAUAACCUGUCGAAAGACGGGCUAAUGCCAAGUAAGCUCCCUCGAUCAUAAAGUUCGAGUGAGGAAAGGUGGCGCAAGCUACCGCCGAAGGAUGAGCCUGCGUCCCAUUAGCUAGUUGGUAAGGUAAUGGCUUACCAAGGCAACGAUGGGUAGCUGGUCUGAGAGGAUGAUCAGCCACACUGGAACUGAAACACGGUCCAGACUCCUACGGGAGGCAGCAGUAGGGAAUAUUGCGCAAUGGGCGAAAGCCUGACGCAGCCACGCCGCGUGAGUGAAGAAGGC